AACCGUCAAACGUGACGCCAUAUUGUUUAUGUCAGACAAAAUUUGUUUAAUCUUGUCUGCGUAAGCUUAAAACUCUAUUUAAACCCAAAAAUAAUCAAAUAAAAAUGGAAACAUUAAGUUUAGACAACGAAUAUGAUGUUAAAAUAGUUUUUGAACCGCCAAAAGCCAUUUGCAGGUGUUGUUUAACGACGGAUAAGCGAAUGAACAAUGCCGUAGCUUUCAAACAGUUAUUUAAGGAUUUAGCUGGUUUAAACGUAACGGAGUCAGAUGGUCUGCCGCAGUGGCUCUGCUACGAAUGCAGUGCGUUGCUACAGAAGUCGGUUAGGUUCCAGCAGAAGGUUCAGAAAGCUCAUACUAUGCUGUAUGAGUACCUUGCACGGUGUGCUCCGUUCCCAAUAGAGCCGCAAGACGAGGAGUUGACGAAGUACGCGAGCCCCCACUACAGCACCACCACCGUACUCGCCAUAGAUAUAGGGGGUAGGGGGAAGGUGGGACACUUCGAGGUUUAUGAGCAUGAGAAGCAACAUCAGCCCUCAGGCCUGGACGAUAUAAUAAUAAAUAAGAUAGAAGAGAAUGUCAAAGAAGAAACAGAAUUCUCCGACUAUGAAGAUAAUAUGACGUUAGAAGAAUUUAGAUCUGUAGCAAAUAAAAUAACAGAGGACGACAUAGCGUCCUUAUUACAAGAGACUGAAGAUAUAGAAGUAAAACAAGAAGAAAUAGCAAAGAAGAAGAAGAUUAAAACUAAAGAAGUUAAAAAGAAGAGAAAAGAGAAUAAUACUAAUGUAGAUUCUGCAAAGGAGGACUCCGCUGAUGAACCGAAGUCUUCAAUCAGGAAGCCGAUUGAGUUGGAUCCGACUAAGAUACGAGUGGUCACAUUAAAUCCAGAGGAACAGAUUAAACAGAGAGAGGAGGAGAGUAAAAACGGAAAGAAAUACCCGUUUCUAUGCAAUUUGUGUUAUAAGGGGUUCAACUUUGAGUCCAAAUUGCAGAAUCAUAUGAGCAAGCAUAGUCCGUCUCGAGGCCCGUACGAGUGCAAGAUAUGCCACAUGUACCUCCCGACGUCGUACAGUUUCAGUGUACACUCACUCAUCCACACCCGGAGGUACGAGUGUCUGGUGUGUGGGCGGCGGAUGAUCGAUAGGCCGUCUAUUAUUGAGCAUUAUAGAACACAGCACGAAGGUUUACUCAGUAGUUUCACGUGUCAAAUAUGCGGUAAAGUUUCCAAUAACAGCAAGACCCACAGGAGCCACAUGCGCAACAACCACGGCGGCGACCGGCCCAAGUGCGAGCAGUGCGGGAAGUCGUUCGUUAAUAAAGACUCGCUCAUUGAACAUCAGCAAAUACACUUAGGCAUAAAGAACUAUGAAUGCCAGAUAUGCAACAAGCGGUUUCGAACCCGCACCCAGAUACACAACCACCAAAUGUCCCACACUGAUGUCAAGGAGUUCUACUGUGUGGAGUGUGAUGUCAGAUUUAAAUCAGCUCACAGUUUGAAGACGCAUCUAUCGAGGAGUAUGAAACAUAGGGAUAAGCAGAGUUUCAAACACAUAUGCGCGCGCUGCCCCGCUCGCUACGCGUGCGCGGCGUCGCUGGCGGCGCACGUGCGCGUGCAGCACGAGGGCGUGCGCCCCCACGUGUGCGGGGACUGCGGGGCCGCGCUGGCCACGCGCUCCUCGCUCGCCAAGCACAUGCACUCCGUACACAUGGGCCUCCGCCCCCCGCCGCGGCACGUGUGCGAUACUUGCGGGAAGGCGUUUAGGGGUAAGAGCGUGCUAACGAACCACGCCCGCACGCACACGGGCGAGAAGCCGUUCGAGUGCCACCACUGCGGGCGCCGCUUCGCGCAGCGCACCUCCAUGCGCACGCACGUCAAACUCGUGCAUCUCAAACUCAGGCGCGCCGGGAAGCAGGUAAAACCAGUAGCAAUCAUAGAUGUCCAAUCGUCUCGUGUCGACGUGUUCAAGCCGGAACCACCUGUAGCAGACACUUGGCGACAACCUUGCGACGUCUACUUCCAAGUUACAGCGGGGCCCUGAAACCUGUGGACCUCACAAGUCAGUGGGCCCCUGAGAACUUUGGGCCCUUGACAGUUUUUUUAGCAUUACAGGCCACUUAAAUCCGUCAUCCCUUGAAAGCAAUGAAGCUUUAAAAACUGUGAGUCCCUAUGCAUUACGGGCCCCUGAGAGAUAAGAGGACCCAAAACAUACGAGGGCCCUUGACAUAAGGGGGCCCUGGAACAUGUUGGGCCCAUAAUGCAUGCGACCCAUAAACCUGGGACCCAAAAACCUGCGUGCCAUAUUGAAACACGCGAUCGCUUUAAUUUAUACAACGAAAAAUAAAAUAAAAUAUAAAAGAAAGUAUUUAAUUAUUGUAAUUAUGAUUGUACAUAAAUUGUUUUUUUAUACAUUUAAUAUAAUUUACGAUAUAUCCUGAUUCUCUGCUUGUUUCCGGGGUUUAAAAGGCCUUAUGUGUGUAAAAAUCUGAAUAGUUUGUUUAUUUGAACGUUCUAAUCUCCGGAACUACUGGUCUGAUUUGGAUAAUUAUUAAUUAUUUUAUGUUAUCGGCUUACUCACGUAACUGUUUGACGAGGAACUCGCCUAGUUUCAAGCCAUGCUAGAGGCUCAUAUUCAUGAGCGGCAUUCCGCGACACACGACGCGGCGACUGUCGCUGCUACUGAAACUAGUCGAGUUCCUCGUCAAACAGUUACGUGAGUAAGCCGAUAACAUAAUAAUUAAUUUAGUAUGUCUCACGAAAGUUGAAUAAUUACUUUUGUGUUGGAUAGCGCAAUUAUCGAGGAAGGCUAUAGGCUAUAAAACAUUACGCUAUGACCAAUAGGAGCCGAGCAGAGUGGGUGAAACCGCGUGGAAGUAGCUAGUUACUUAUUAAUAUAUAAGCUGAAGAGUUUGUUUGUUUCUUAGUAAUCUCUGGAACUUAUAACAGAUCAUGAUCUCAUUAAAAGAAUUUGUUUGAAUACUUUAAAAUAUACCAUUUUUUUAUACUAUUCAACUGAUGGUAGCGUGGACUGUCCAGGCGAUACGUACUUAGGUAUCGUCAUGAGCUAAUGGUAACAUGUAAACAGUGACUCGUGUAGUGUAGAGAUUGUCCAGUCAACUGAUGGUAGCGUGGACUGUCCAGGCGAUACGUACUUAGGUAUCGUCAUGAGCUAAUGGUAACAUGUAAACAGUGACUCGUGUAGUGUAGAGAUUGUCCAGUCAACUGAUGGUAGCGUGGACUGUCCAGGCGAUACGUACUUAGGUAUCGUCAUGAGCUAAUGGUAACAUGUAAACAGUGACUCGUGUAGUGUAGAGAUUGUCCAG